GAUGAACGCUAGCUAUAGGCUUAACACAUGCAAGUCGAGGGGUAACAAGGAGAGAGCUUGCUCUUCUGUUGACGACCGGCGCACGGGUGAGUAACACGUAUCCAACCUACCGUAUACACUGGGAUAGCUCUUCGAAAGAAGGAUUAAUACUAGAUGUUAAGAUGUUCUCGCCUGGGAAUAUCUUCAAAGAUUUAUCGGUAUACGAUGGGGAUGCGUUCCAUUAGACAGUUGGUGAGGUAACGGCUCACCAAAUCGACGAUGGAUAGGGGUUCUGAGAGGAAGAUCCCCCACAUUGGAACUGAGACACGGUCCAAACUCCUACGGGAGGCAGCAGUGAGGAAUAUUGGUCAAUGGGCGGAAGCCUGAACCAGCCAAGUAGCGUGAGGGAUGACUGCCCUAUGGGUUGUAAACCUCUUUAUAAGGGAAUAAAAUACGGGACGUGUCCUGUUUUGCAUGUACCUUAUGAAUAAGGACCGGCUAAUUCCGUG
rnacentral:rRNA from 1 species